rnacentral:rRNA from 1 species
UACGUAGGGGGCUAGCGUUGUCCGGAAUCAUUGGGCGUAAAGAGCGUGUAGGCGGUCCGGUAAGUCCGUUGUGAAAGUCAGGGGCUCAACCCUUGAAUGCCGGCGGAUACUGUCGGGCUAGAGUCCGGAAGAGGCGAGUGGAAUUCCCGGUGUAGCGGUGAAAUGCGCAGAUAUCGGGAGGAACACCUAUGGCGAAGGCAGCUCGCUGGGACGGUACUGACGCUGAGACGCGAAAGCGUGGGGAGCAAACGGG